rfam:Pyronema omphalodes CBS 100304, CBS100304, WGS project CATG01000000 data, contig: Pcon_v1_contig482
ACUGUUUCACAGCCUUUUGGCUUAGAUCAAGUGUAGUAUCUGUUCUUUUCAGUUUAAAAUCUGAAACGGUUAUAUUUGGAACCUUCUUAUAUUAAUCUUAUUUUCGAAACUAGGUUGUUGGCCUCUGAGCUUGCUCAUGUCGAUGGCCAAUGUGUCACUGGUAUUUUACUGUCUCCAGUUGAUGCGACUUUUC